CUUUGGCCGUCAACAGAACCCAGAGACCGCGGUAGAGUUCUAAGUUUUAAGGGUCUCUGCGAUGGGCAAGAAAGACAAGAACAAGGAACCGGCGGACGCUGCACCAGCUGGCGAUGCACCACCUGCUGGACCUCCAGCAGGCGAGGGAGGCGAUGGCGAGAUUGUGGGCGGACCACACAAUCCGCAGCAGAUUGCGGCACAGAAGCGUCUCCAGCAGACGCAGGCGCAGGUCGAUGAGGUCGUCGACAUUAUGCGCACAAACGUCGAGAAGGUGCUGGAGCGCGAUAGCAAGCUGUCGGAGUUGGACGAUCGCGCCGAUGCCUUGCAGCAGGGCGCCUCGCAGUUCGAGCAGCAGGCGGGCAAGCUUAAGAGGAAAUUCUGGCUGCAGAACUUGAAGAUGAUGAUCAUAAUGGGCGUGAUUGGCCUGGUUGUCGUGGGAAUCAUUGCAAAGAAAGACGAGAAAGAGUAAUACACUGAAAGCAUUAGCUUUGUACAAUUUUUUUAACCAUAAGAAAUACAGUUAUUCAAUACAGUUUUUCCCAAAAAAAAAACAUAUUAUUUGUGAGAUAAGCUGGGACUCAUAGGCGGAGAGCAGCCACCGCAGUACCCUCAGUAUCCACAGUACAUGCCGCCACCGCCGCCACAGCAGCAGCA
rnacentral:misc_RNA from 1 species